AGUAACACGUGGGUAACCUGCCUGUAAGACUGGGAUAACUCCGGGAAACCGGGGCUAAUACCGGAUGCUUGUUUGAACCGCAUGGUUCAAACAUAAAAGGUGGCUUCGGCUACCACUUACAGAUGGACCCGCGGCGCAUUAGCUAGUUGGUGAGGUAACGGCUCACCAAGGCAACGAUGCGUAGCCGACCUGAGAGGGUGAUCGGCCACACUGGGACUGAGACACGGCCCAGACUCCUACGGGAGGCAGCAGUAGGGAAUCUUCCGCAAUGGACGAAAGUCUGACGGAGCAACGCCGCGUGAGUGAUGAAGGUUUUCGGAUCGUAAAGCUCUGUUGUUAGGGAAGAACAAGUACCGUUCGAAUAGGGCGGUACCUUGACGGUACCUAACCAGAAAGCCACGGCUAACUACGUGCCAGCAGCCGCGGUAAUACGUAGGUGGCAAGCGUUGUCCGGAAUUAUUGGGCGUAAAGGGCUCGCAGGCGGUUUCUUAAGUCUGAUGUGAAAGCCCCCGGCUCAACCGGGGAGGGUCAUUGGAAACUGGGGAACUUGAGUGCAGAAGAGGAGAGUGGAAUUCCACGUGUAGCGGUGAAAUGCGUAGAGAUGUGGAGGAACACCAGUGGCGAAGGCGACUCUCUGGUCUGUAACUGACGCUGAGGAGCGAAAGCGUGGGGAGCGAACAGGAUUAGAUACCCUGGUAGUCCACGCCGUAAACGAUGAGUGCUAAGUGUUAGGGGGUUUCCGCCCCUUAGUGCUGCAGCUAACGCAUUAAGCACUCCGCCUGGGGGAGUACGGUCGCAAGACUGAAACUCAAAGGAAUUGACGGGGGCCCGCACAAGCGGUGGAGCAUGUGGUUUAAUUCGAAGC
rnacentral:rRNA from 2 species